ensembl:snRNA U6 U6 spliceosomal RNA
GUGCUUGCUUUUGCCACACAUAUACUAAAACUGCAACAAUACAGAGGAGCUUAGAUGGCCCUUGAACAAGGAUGACAAAUAAAUCUGUGAAGCAUUCCAUAUUUUU